GACAGAGGUGCCGAGCGUUAGGCGGAAUCACUGGGCUUAAAGCGUGUGUAGGCGGAUCGUUAAGUGCCUUGUGAAAUCCCACGGCUCACCCGUGGAACUGCUGGGCAUACUGGCGGUCUUGAGCCACCUAGGGGCAACCGGAACAAACGGUGGAGCGGUGAAAUGCGUAGAUAUCGUUUGGAACGCCAAUGGUGAAAACAGGUCGCUGGGAGUGCGCCGACGCUGAGACACGAAAGCCAGGGGAGCAAACGGG
rnacentral:rRNA from 1 species